UUAGGGAUGUUCCAUUUUUGAGGACGUACUCCUGCAUUUGUCUGAAUGUUGAGUACUUGGAUAAAAUUUGGGCACUUGGAUAAAAAUUGACCCAGUGUGCCUCCAUGUUUGCCGUUAGCAUGUUGGUAGAGUAUGGAGGGCUGUUUUUUGUCGUCAUAUUGUCUCAAGUGGUUAUUUAGUCUCUCCGGAAUGCUCCUAGAUGUCUCACCUAUCUAUAUCCUGUUCUUGUCUUUACAAGCACCUUCUAUGCACCUUAUGCUGUAGACUACUGCGCUAAUUGAUUAAAAUAUAAAAAGAAAAAAAGAAAGAACGAAGGAAAAACUUUGAGAUAAGUAAAGAAAAUGUAUAUAAACUGAAGCAAACUUUAGUUUCGAUAGAAAAGAUAAAAGAAUUUUGUGUGUAAGAAAUAAUUAGUGAAUACGUAGAAAAAAACGAUCUUGGUGUUGCGUUUUGGUCAAAUAAUUAUAAGAAGCAUUCAAGCAGACGUUAAAAUUAGUGGAUGGAGAUAAUAGAAAGGUUUGAAAGUCCGAACUCUCGAUUGAGAUGGUUCUGAUGAAUGUAUGACGUUUGUGUACAUUGCAGGUGUCGUAUAAAAAGGCAGUUGGAGAGUGAGAUAGUGAGUCAGGAAAUAGAGAGAAAAACUGAUUAAUAUUGAGAAUAAGUUAAUAGAGAGAAAUAGAAAAAUGAUGGUGCGAAUAAAUGUGGACAGGGAGAGAGAGGGGGAGGGCAGUAGGAGAUGAAAAUCUAGAAAAGGAAACGAAGAGGUUGACCAGGAAAGAAAGACAGAGAGAGAGAGAGAGAGAGAGAGAGAUUAAGUGGGAAAGUCGGGGAGCUCAAAUUUCGAGUGGGCGUCUUUUCAAAGCGCGAGGUUGUUACAUGUGCAGUGUUGUUAUUUAUUUAGAUGUUAAUCGCAUUUAAUACGUGUCAAAGACUGUCAAAUUUGUGUUGUGUUUGUAUGCAGUAGUGCACACACACACACACACACACACACACACACACACACACACACACACGCAUAUAUUUAUAUAUAGAUACGUGUUUACAUAUAUAUGUUUAUUUGUAAACCUAUGCAUAUAUUACAUCUCUCUCUCCCUGUAUAUAUAUAUAUAUAUAUAUAUAUAUAUAUAUAUACAUACAUAUAUAUAGACGCAUACAUAUAGGCGCAGGAGUGACUGUGUGGUAAGUAGCUUGCUUACCAACCACACGGUUUCGGGUUCAAUCCCACUGUAUGGCACCUUGGGCAGGUAUCUUCUACUAUAGCCUCGGGCCGACCAAAGCCUUGUGAGUGGAUUUGGUAGACGGAAACUGAAAGAAGCCCGUCGUAUAUAUGUGUAUGAGUCCUGGGGUCGAUUUGGUCGAUUAAAGGCGGUGCUCCAGCAUGGCCGCAGUCAAAUGAAACAAAUAAAAGAAUGAAAAAAGAAUACAUAUAUAUAUACACACACACACACACCCAUAUAUGCUAUGGGCUUCUUUCAGUUUCCGACUGCCAAAUCCACUCAUAAGGCUCUUUGGUCUGCCUAGGGCUAUAGUAGAAAACACUUGCCCAAGGUACCAUGGAGUGGGACUGAACCUGAAACCAUGUGGUUAGUAAGCAAGCUACUUACCACACAACCACUCCUGCCCCUAUAUAUAUAUAUAUAUAUAUAUAUAUAUAUAUAUAUAUGUAUGUAUGUAUGUAUAUAUAUGUAUAUAUAUGUGUGUAUGCGUAUAUAUAUAUAUGUAUGUAUGUUUUUGUAUGCAUGUGUGCGUAUGAGUGUGUACGUUUGUGUGUGUUUAUACACAUGCUUGCACGUACACACAUGCAAACAUAUAUCUAUAAACAAACAAACACAACCACCAACAUAUCCACAAUCACACACAAUUUAGUCCUCGCCCGAAAACGCGCUGCCAAAAAUAGGUUACGUCUAAAGGUUCGCUCCUGCUCCAAUGUCGUGUGUACUUAUGUACAUUCACUGAUAGAUGGCUUUUGUUAUUUGCUUUGAUCCUAUCCUCUUGGCACAUUUAAUAAUUAUCUUCCUUGCUGUCUUCGUUUAACCCUAGGUCAACCCCGAUCAAACAAACCCAGCAUCAAACAACAUUUCAUCUGUGACAUUUCCGACAUUUUCAUUGUAUUUCAAACAAUAUUUUCAUUUUGUUUUCUUUUGCAAGGCGGUGUCCCAGCAUAGAUGCAAAGUUUAUCUAGGACUCCGUUAUUGCAUAUGUCAUUGCUUUUAUUUUUAGGCGGCGAGGAGCUGGCAGAAACGUUAGCACUGCGGGCGAAAUACUUAGCGAUAUUUCGUCUGCCGUUACGUUCUGAGUUCAAAUUCCGCCGAGGUCGACUUUGCCUUUCAUUCUUUCGGGAUCGAUAAAUUAAGUACCAGUUACACACUGGGGUCGAUGUAAUCGACUUAAUCCGUUUGUUUCUCCUUGUUUGUCCCCUCUGUGUUUAGCCCCUUGUGGGUAGUAAAGAAAUAGGUAUUUCGUCUGUCGCUACGUUCUGAGUUCGAAUUCCUCCGAGGUCGACUUUGCCUUUCAUCCUUUCAGGGUCGAUAAAUUAAGUACCAGUUACAAAAUGAACGAAUUUAUCUGACAACCUAACUUUUUCCCCUCUCUCCCUCAUUCACGUUUAAAAUCAGUCAAGAAAGUGUAACGCGCGGGAGAUGUGGUUGCUAUUUCUAGCAGGUUAAACAACGACUUAGAAACUCGACCCUCCAUCCUCUCCUGCUUUCCUUGCUAUAUUUUUCCUGUUGCGGUUUUAUUUAAUUUAAAACGGCUUCGCUUUAAUCAUUGAAAUUUCAACACACAUGUUGUUAUUUCUAGCUGAUGAUAUUCUUCAAAACAAGUCAUUUAAUCUAUUCUACAGAAGGAAAGCAUUUAUCUUGCAGAGAAAUGCCGUUUAUUUUGGGUUUGGGUAAUCUUUCGAACAUGGCACCAACUAUACAUGCAUAGUAGGCAUAUUAUUCUGGUUGUUGUUGCUGUUGUUGUUGUUGUCAUCUGGGUAGAGGUCAACUCGUGACUGAUAAGAUCACUUCUUAAACCCAUUUCACUCUAAGAAGCAUCACAAGUAGGGUCUCCCCGACGCCGGCAACGUUCAUGUAGCUCUUGAGGCAUGUCAGGGACCGACUACAAUUACACACCGACCACAAGUUGUGCUUCUAGCAGCAGCAGCAACAGCAGCAGCAGCACAGCAGCAGCAGCAGCCGUCCAAGAAUUUGGACCUGGAGAUCUCCAUUUCCAGCGACUUCGAGGGCCACCUCCCAGUGGUGUCGGGCGUCAACGAAGAGCCCUCGACUACAACAAACGACCAAAGUUUUUCUUUUUUUCCCCCAAGGUCUGGGGUCUCCCGCUCCUAAACCCUAGACCAUCACCUAAUCACCCUUACCCGUCUUGUUGCCUAACAACAACAACAACAAUAACAACAACAACAACAACAACAACAACAACAGCAGCAGCAGCAGCGGCCCGAUAGUGGACGUUGGGACCUAAAAUACCGAAUGAGUUCAAUGACCAACACAAGGUCCACGGAAGAGCAAGCUGGACAUCAUCACAUUGGUAGACGGAUGUGGAGCGGCUCGCGAAAUUUUUUUCCCACGAGAGUUCCGGACACCAGUUAUGAACUCAUUUGCAUACAGCCAAUCAGAGCUCAGCUAUCAAACUAAUUUAUGGGCGAAUAACAAGUGAUGGGCGAUAAGAUAAGGUCACCUGGAUAAGGGAUGACCAUGCUUUUUUUCUCUUUUGAUAUUGCUUGUUGUUCUUGUUCUUGUUCCAACCAUGACUGCCUCUGCGUAAUUAUAUUUGUGUUGUUGUUGUUUAUUUUGUAAAGCAGUAAAAGGAGAGGGUUGCUAGCACAUCACCCUCUACCCACAUUUUCCCAUACACAUUGUUACCAUAUGGGGCCCUAACACAAUCCGAUAAUAGUUAUAGAUGCAAACCCAUCUAAUUACUUGUCUCCUUCUAAAACCAGACAUAAACUUGACGAUCGGUCGACUUACAACACCGUUCUUCAUCUUGAGUCUACUCGGUAGAAUGUGUUUGUUAACUUGACAUCAAGGUCAAGGUGAGCUCUGAUUGGCUGUAUGUUUCCGUCUAUCAGAUCCACUCACAAGACUUUGGUCGGCUCCAGGCUAUAGUAGAUGACAGUUGCCCAAGGUGCCACGCAGUGGGACUGAACCCGAAGUUGUCACAGAAGUUUUUGUUGUUCAUCGUUUCCUUUGUCCUCUCUCCAUCUUUCCCCUUCCACGGUUCCUUGAAGAAUGGUUUUUCCAAGGCCAUACCAUACCAUACCAGUUGUCUUUUCUUUCCUCACCCUGUGUGUGUGUGUGUGUGUGUGUGUGUGCAUAUACCUGUAUUAUUCUUUAACAAGAAUUGUAUUGAGUAUGGUUUCUAAGUUCCUACCAGCGACGUCAUCAUCGGACCGUGUGUGCGUGAGUGUGUAUAUGCGUAUUAAUGUGUGUGUAUGUUUGUGUGUGUGUGUCUGUGUGUGUGUGUGUGUGUGUGUGUGUGUGUGUGUGUGUUUGUUGCUAUUUGUCAUGAGAAGUCGGGUGAUUUAGAAGUUCAAUUAGAACACAUUUAAACAGCCAUGAAACCCGGAACCCAAGUUGCAGUGAGAGAACGACAGCGAAAUACUUUAGCGAUCUCAGAACGGGAAUAUAGAACGUGAGGUCACCGAGUUAUGAGGGAAGGGGGGGGAGAAGAGAUGGAGAGAGAGAGAGAGAGGGAGAGAGUGGCUGGAAAGAGGGAAGGAGGGAGAGGGAGAGCAGGGGGUAGAAAGACGGAUGGGGUAAGAGUGAGUGUGAAAGUGGUGUAAAUAAAACUUGUAUCUGAGGUCAUCAACCUUUUAGUCAUUGAGCGUGUGUGUGUGUGUGGGGGUGAGGGUGUGAGGGUGUGUGGGUAUGUGUGUUAAUGUGUGUGUUAGUGUGUGUGGGUGUGUUUCUUUUAUCCUUUUGUUCCUUUGACUGCGGCCAUACUGGGACACCACCUUGACGGGUUUAGUCGGAUCACAUUGACUCCUGUAACCAGUUUGUAAAUCCGGUACUUAUUCUGUCAUUUUGUUUUGCCAAACCUAAGUCAUGGGGAUGUAAACCAACCAACCAACACCGCUUGUUACGCUGUGGCAUGGGACGCACACACACACACACACACACACACACACACAAACACAAACAGAUAUACAUAUAUUUACACCCAUCUAUCUAUCUAUCUAUCUAUCUAUCUAUCUAUCUAUCUAUCUAUCUAUCUAUCUAUCUAUCUAUCUAUCUAUCUAUCUAUCUAUCUAUCUAUCUAUCUAUCUAUCUAUCUAUCUAUCUAUCUAUCUAUCUAUCUAUCUAUCUAUCUAUCUAUCUAUCUAUCUAUCUAUCUAUCCAUCCAUCCACCUAUCUAUCUAUCUAUCUAUCUAUCUAUCUAUCUAUCUAUCUAUCUAUCUAUCUAUCUAUCUAUCUACUUGUCUAGGGCUUCUAACAAUGUCUACCUACCAAAUACAGUCACAAGAUACUGGUAGUGUUGGGGGCCUCAGUAGAAAACACUUGGCCGAGGUGCUUCAAAGUGGAACUGAACCCGGCGGUUGCAAAGCAAACUUCUUAACCACACAGCUGCUGGUUGUUGUUUUCAUUUCCCUGUUCACAUGUUCACCAAUACUUACUGGACGUAUCGAUCUCAAUAUGCUCGUCUUCAUCAGUUGAUAUUCCAUUUAUUUUAUUCCAGAUCGUUCUGGUAACCACACGAAGCCUCAUGGAAAGAUCGCCUAAAGAGAUCAUCCUCUCGCAGCUACAAAUAAUGGCUGGUGUCUGAAGAUAAUUUGCACAGUCUUCAUCGACUUCCAAAUAAUGCCAAAUGGUAGCAAAUUAUACCAAAUUAUGCCAAAUGAUGCGAAAUGAAGCAUUUCGCUUUUGCAUGAGAAAUACGUAAAGGAGCCGUUUUGCUUCAGGAUUGGAUGGAUUUUGCCUUUGUCCCUCGAGGUGAGUUGUACUUAUUUGUCAUUGGCUUUUAUCUUUUUUUCCCUCGCUUUUAUUUGUUUCUGUCAUUUGAUAUCGUUGACGGACUUGGGUUAACGGAAGUUAAUUAGUCUGUUAAUGAUUUUCAGAUUUUUAAACCGUUAAACGAAAAUGUUGACUUCAUUAAUUCACGAUAAACGGAUUAACGGACUUACAUCCAGCUCUGUAUAUAUCUUCGGAUAUGCAUUUUGUGAAGCAAAUCACGAUACUGAAAAAAGCAUAAUAAAAUAAAAGGUGGAAUGGUGAGCAUUUGGUCAAGUCGUCCCCAAGUCCUUCCCAUAACUUUUUUUUUUUACAAGAAUCGUAAUCUAAGUUGCUUUGCUUCGAUCUUAUUCUUGCGAAAAUUUACGGGACAAUUUCGGAAACGAGUGUGGUCAUACACACACACACACACACACACACGAGAUAAGUGUCCUCUACAUACACAUGCAUGUGAAUACAGACACGCACACACACAUAUAUACACACAUACACACACGCUCAUAUAUAUAAUUCGUUUUCUAGGUCACCUUAUUGUUAAUGACGAUAUUUUCUAUCACGUGUUUAUGUAUAAAUGCAAACACACACACUUACACACACAUACAUAUUUUCAUGCCUAUAUAUAUAUAUAUAUAUAUAUAUAUAUAUAUAUAGUUAAUCCAAACAUAUGUAUAUAUAUAUAUAUAUAUAUAUAUAUAUAUAUAUAUAUAUAUAUAUAUAUAUAUAUAUAUAUAUAUAUAUAUAUAUAUAUAUAUAUAUAUAUAUAUAUAUAUAUGUAUGUAUAUAUAUAUAUAUAUAUAUAUAUAUAUAUAUAUAUAUAUACAUACAUACAUACAUAUACGCACGGACAGAUGUAAACAUACAUACUUAGAUAUAUGUAAAUACAAGCAUGUGUACACAUCCAAAGAUACGCACGCACGUUCCCAUACACACACAUCUGAACACACAUAUCCACACACACACUCAGCCCCCCCACACACACACACACAUUGACACACGCACACACGCAUACCGCCGACCGCACACUCCCGUACACUUAUACACAAGCAGAAGACGAUAAAGGGAUUUACCUUCGAAACCAUGGCGAUCAUUUUCUCACAAGCUAGAAUUUCUGCAAAGAACACCACGCAUGGUCUUCCUCUCUGAGGUACAGUGAUUCUCCAUCUUUCUUUGUACUCUUUUGCACCUUUACGAUUCCACUACUCCUCUCCCCCCACUUUAUUUAAUGACGGGGUAAAAGUCUCAAGAAUGCCUAGCUGCUAUUUCUAGCGCCUCUAGUGAUCCUAUACAAGCACCCCCCGUUGGACUGCUGUCGUAAGGAUUGUUGUGAUUGUUGUGGUUAAUUAUCAUUCAUGCUUAUUUAUAUCUUUGCACACACAUACACACACUCAUACACACACGCCCACGCACACACACACACACACACACACGCCCGCACACACACUGUCUACUAGGUUCUUACUGAGUAUAGCAGGUACGAAAUUUCUUGUCUCUUAACCUACCUUUUCAUUAAAGUGGGGGCGCUAAAAGCACAUCUUCGCCCUCGUCUUUG
rnacentral:lncRNA from 1 species